rnacentral:lncRNA from 1 species
GGCCUCUCGGCUGGCAUCUUCGCUGCAGGUUGGGUGUACGAAACCCAGGACAGGAGCAACUUUAUUGACAACCAGUGUCGAUUCUGGAACUUUCUAGACACUCUGUGCAACGACUGGCGUGUGGUCACAUUGCCGCUCAAGACUGGUUUCUGUCAGGGAUUCGGCGAAAAGCUGUACAGGGAUGGCAAGGUAGCGUCAAGCAGACCGUGGUACAACCUGGCCAAGCAACAGCUGCAGCCUCGAGACCAAGGCACGGCACUGUGUGGA